rnacentral:rRNA from 1 species
UACGUAGGGGGCAAGCGUUGUCCGGAAUCAUUGGGCGUAAAGCGCGUGUAGGCGGCUCGGUAAGUCCGCUCUGAAAGUCCGGGGCUCAACCCCGGGAGGCGGGUGGAUACUGUCGAGCUCGAGUCCGGAAGAGGCGAGUGGAAUUCCUGGUGUAGCGGUGAAAUGCGCAGAUAUCAGGAGGAACACCGGUGGCGAAGGCGGGUCUCUGGGCCGAAACUGACGCUGAGGAGCGAAAGCGUGGGGAGCGAACAGG